rnacentral:lncRNA from 1 species
GAGACAGUAACCACUGGAAUAACAAAGAGUAAGAGAAAGAGGGAAUAAGCAUUUAUUAAGCACCUACUACAUACCAAACAAUGCACUUUACAAUUAUUAUCUCAUUUUACCAUCACAACAUCUCUGGAAGGUAGGUGUUAUUAUUAUUAUCACCAUUUAAUAUUUGAAGAAACCAAGGCAUACAGAAGUUAAGCAACUUGCCAAGACUCAUACAGCUAGUAAAUGUUGGAGGCCAGAUUUGAAGUUGGGAGUUCCUGACUUUUUCUACUGUGCUACUAACCAUUAAAUUCAGUCUGCCUGUAGAGCAGACAACCUUUAAGAAAAACCACCAGAAAUACAUUGAAUUCCUCUACCAUUCCAAAACAGUGGACCUGGACCCACUCAGAGAUUUUUACUGAAUAUUUAGAAUACUCAGUACCGUAUGAUAUCACAGCAGCUUUGGGACUCAGAGUUCAGUAUCUUCUGCCCCUCUGACUGGAGAGUGAGAAUAUAGAACAAAGAACUCAUAAAACUUCCAUAUAAAGAGACUCCUAGACUUCUCACCAUCUGCACUCCUUGGACUGGACUCUACAUGAUUCUUGUCAGGUUUCUCACCAUUUUCUCUGAUGCCAUUGGCAGAUCAAGUGCCUCCCAUUGCUUGCCACGAUUACUGAAACAUUGAGUCAAAAGAAGACUUUACUUCCUCAUUUGGUCACUUUGUUCAACCACAGCAAAUACUGAAUAAGUCAUUCCAUUCCUAGUGUCACUGUAUCUUCCUUCCUUAUUAGUGCUGAGCAUGGAAAUGUGGGUAUCUACUCAGAGAAACUUGUGGUAACAUUGCUGUUCUUGGUCAUGACAGCAGCAGAGUGCA